AUGAACGCUAGCUACAGGCUUAACACAUGCAAGUCGAGGGGCAGCGGUAUCGAAAGCUUGCUUUCGGUAGCCGGCGACCGGCGCACGGGUGAGUAACGCGUAUCGAACCUGCCUCAUACUCGGGAAUAGCCUUGCGAAAGUAAGAUUAAUGCCCGGUGUUUUCAGAGUCCCGCAUGAGGCUUUGAACAAAGAUUUAUCGGUAUGAGAUGGCGAUGCGUCCCAUUAGCUUGUUGGCGGGGUAACGGCCCACCAAGGCAUCGAUGGGUAGGGGUUCUGAGAGGAAGGUCCCCCACAUUGGAACUGAGACACGGUCCAAACUCCUACGGGAGGCAGCAGUGAGGAAUAUUGGUCAAUGGGCGGAAGCCUGAACCAGCCAAGUAGCGUGCAGGAAGACGGCCCUCCGGGUUGUAAACUGCUUUUAGUUGGGAAUAAAACGGGGCUCGUGAGCCCCCUUGCAUGUACCAUCAGAAAAAGGACCGGCUAAUUCCGUGCCAGCAGCCGCGGUAAUACGGAAGGUCCGGGCGUUAUCCGGAUUUAUUGGGUUUAAAGGGAGCGCAGGCGGACCUUUAAGUCAGCUGUGAAAUACGGCGGCUCAACCGUCGAACUGCAGUUGAUACUGGAGGUCUUGAGUGCACACAGGGAUGCUGGAAUUCAUGGUGUAGCGGUGAAAUGCUCAGAUAUCAUGAAGAACUCCGAUCGCGAAGGCAGGCAUCCGGGGUGCAACUGACGCUGAGGCUCGAAAGUGCGGGUAUCAAACAGGAUUAGAUACCCUGGUAGUCCGCACAGUAAACGAUGAAUACUCGCGGUUUGCGAUACAAUGUAAGCCGCCAAGCGAAAGCGUUAAGUAUUCCACCUGGGGAGUACGCCGGCAACGGUGAAACUCAAAGGAAUUGACGGGGGCCCGCACAAGCGGAGGAACAUGUGGUUUAAUUCGAUGAUACGCGAGGAACCUUACCCGGGCUUGAACUGCCAGCGACGGAUGCAGAGACGCAUCUUUCUUCGGACGCUGGCGGAGGUGCUGCAUGGUUGUCGUCAGCUCGUGUCGUGAGAUGUUGGGUUAAGUCCCGCAACGAGCGCAACCCUUAUCCUUUGUUGCCAGCGGUUAGGCCGGGAACUCAAAGGAGACUGCCAGUGAUAAACUGGAGGAAGGUGGGGAUGACGUCAAAUCAGCACGGCCCUUACGUCCGGGGCUACACACGUGUUACAAUGGGCGGUACAGAGGGCAGCCACUGCGCGAGCAGGAGCCAAUCCUCAAAGCCGUUCUCAGUUCGGACUGGAGUCUGCAACCCGACUCCACGAAGCUGGAUUCGCUAGUAAUCGCGCAUCAGCCAUGGCGCGGUGAAUACGUUCCCGGGCCUUGUACACACCGCCCGUCAAGCCAUGAAAGCCGGGAGCACUUGAAGGCCGUGACCGCAAGGGUCGGUCUAGAGUGAUACUGGUAAUUGGGGCU
rnacentral:rRNA from 1 species